AUUGAACGCUGGCGGCAUGCCUUACACAUGCAAGUCGAACGGUAACAGGUCUUCGGAUGCUGACGAGUGGCGAACGGGUGAGUAAUACAUCGGAACGUGCCUAGUAGUGGGGUAUAACUACUCUAAAGAGUGGCUAAUACCGCAUGAGAUCUACGGAUGAAAGCAGGGGAUCGCAAGACCUUGUUUUACUAGAGCGGCCGAUGGCAGAUUAGGUGGUUGGUGGGAUAAAAGCUUACCAAGCCCACGAUCUGUAGCUGUUCUGAGAGUACGAUCAGCCACACUGGGACUGGGACACGGCCCAGAGUCCUGAGGGAGGCAGCAGUGGGGAAUGUUGGGCAAUGGGCGGAAACCUGACACAGUGAUGCCGCGUGCAGGAUGAAGGCCUUCGGGUUGUAAACUGCUUUUGUACGGAACGAAAAGCCCUGGGUUAAUACCCUGGGGUCAUGACGGUACCGUAAGAAUAAGCACCGGCUAACUACGUG
rnacentral:rRNA from 1 species